rnacentral:rRNA from 1 species
UACGAAGGGGGCUAGCGUUGCUCGGAAUCACUGGGCGUAAAGGGUGCGUAGGCGGGGCUUUAAGUCAGGGGUGAAAUCCUGGAGCUCAACUCCAGAACUGCCCUUGAUACUGAAGAUCUUGAGUUCGGGAGAGGUGAGUGGAACUGCGAGUGUAGAGGUGAAAUUCGUAGAUAUUCGCAAGAACACCAGUGGCGAAGGCGGCUCACUGGCCCGAUACUGACGCUGAGGCACGAAAGCGUGGGGAGCAAACAGG